GUUUAUACAAACAAAAAAAUCUGAAACUAUUGAUAAGAUCAGCUUUUGAAGGUUCAAACUACUGCCAUGUUAUGUAGUCCCGUUGUGAAUCGACUCCAAAAUCUGGUACAUUGAUUUUCACUCUUUGGCCAGUCAUGAUGCUUUUGUUAUAAACUUAUGGAAAAAAUAUAUGUUCAUAAAACAAUAAAAAGGCAACCAGGGAGAUAUAUUAUCUAAAAUUGUGUUGGAUAUUAAAUGUGAUGUUUGCAUUUGUCAUGUGAUUAUCUCUAUUCAAAUUUUUUUUUUUUUUUUAGCAUGGUUCAUUCUAAUUUUGAUUCUUUUUGUCAAGGCACUGUUUUUAGUGUAAAGAAAUGGAUGAAAAAUGUCAAAUGGCCAUGAGUUAUCUGUAAGCAAAAUAAAUAUAACAAAUAAUUGUAAACAAGGAUGUAGAUCUUGGAUAAUCAUCUCACAUUCAUAUUUUUUAAAGCAUAAUUAUCACUGUGUUGAUAUGUACAAAAAUAUAGGUAUUUAAUUCUUAUAUAUUAUCACUAUUAUAAAAAAAAAUGGUAAAAACUAAAUUAGAUAGUGUUUGUCAAUUAAUGGUGAGUUUGGAAGAGUUUUAUUUCUGGUUAAGAUGAUUCUAUCAAUGUUUAUGAAUAAAAAAAUGUGUCCUAAUA
rnacentral:sRNA from 1 species